AGCAGCCGCGGUAAUUCCAGCUCCAAUAGCGUAUAUUAAAGUUGUUGCAGUUAAAAAGCUCGUAGUUGAACUUCGGGGUUUACCCAUUGGUCAGGCUUAAUUGUCUGCACUGGUGAGAUGAAUCUCUACCUUCUGAGGAACUUUCAUGCCAUUUAUUUGGUGUGAUGGGAAACCAGGACUGUUACUUUGAAGAAAUUAGAGUGUUUAAAGCAGGCUAACGUCUGAAUACAUUAGCAUGGAAUAAUGAAAUAGGACGGACUGAUUCUAUUUCGUUGGUUUCUAGGAUCACCGUAAUGAUUAAUAGGGAUAGUUGGGGGCAUUAGUAUUCAAUUGUCAGAGGUGAAAUUCUUGGAUUUAUUGAAGACUAACUACUGCGAAAGCAUUUGCCAAGGAUGUUUUCAUUAAUCAAGAACGAAAGUUAGGGGAUCGAAGACGAUCAGAUACCGUCGU
rnacentral:rRNA from 1 species